UUUAGUAUCUNUCAUGGCCCUUACGACCAGGGCUACACACGUGCUACAAUGGUCGGUACAAAGGGUUGCUACCUAGCGAUAGGAUGCUAAUCUCAAAAAGCCGAUCGUAGUCCGGAUUGGAGUCUGCAACUCGACUCCAUGAAGUCGGAAUCGCUAGUAAUCGCGGAUCAGAAUGCCGCGGUGAAUACGUUCCCGGGCCUUGUACACACCGCCCGUCACACCAUGGGAGUUUGUUGCACCAGAAGUAGGUAGUCUAACCGCAAGGAGGACGCUUACCACGGUGUGGCCGAUGACUGGGGUGAAGUCGUAACAAGGUAGCCGUAGGGGAACCUGCGGUUGGAUNNCCAC
rnacentral:rRNA from 1 species